UACGUAGGGGGCAAGCGUUGUCCGGAAUCAUUGGGCGUAAAGCGCGUGUAGGCGGCUCGAUAAGUCUGCUGUGAAAGUCCAGGGCUCAACCCUGGGAUGCCGGUGGAUACUGUCGGGCUCGAGUCCGGAAGAGGCGAGUGGAAUUCCUGGUGUAGCGGUGAAAUGCGCAGAUAUCAGGAGGAACACCAAUGGCGAAGGCAGCUCGCUGGGACGUGACUGACGCUGAGACGCGAAAGCGUGGGGAGCAAACAGGAUUAGAAACCCUCGUAGUCC
rnacentral:rRNA from 1 species